AUUGAACGCUGGCGGCAGGCCUAACACAUGCAAGUCGAGCGAGCGGCGGAGGGGUGAGUAAUGGAUGGGGAACGCCCGUUAGAGGGGGAUAACUACUGGAAACGGUAGCGAAUACCGCAGACUAUCGGAUAACCCAGAUGGUAGUAGCUAGUAGGUGAGGUAAUGGCUCACCUAGGCGAGGAUCCCUAGCUGGGCUGAGAGGAUGAUCAGCCACACUGGGACUGAGACACGGCCCAGACUCCUACGGAGGCAGCAGUGGGGAAUAUUGGACAAUGGGCGCAAGCCUGAUCCAGCCAUGCCGCGUGAAUGAAGAAGGCCCUAGGGUUGUAAAGUACUUUCAUUCGGGAGGCGUUACCGACAGAAGAAGCACCGGCUAACUACGUGCCAGCAGCCGCGGUAAUUC
rnacentral:rRNA from 1 species